AGUUAGCGGCGGACGGGUGAGUAACACGUGGGUAACCUGCCCAUAAGACUGGGAUAACUCCGGGAAACCGGGGCUAAUACCGGAUAACAUUUUGAACCGCAUGGUUCGAAAUUGAAAGGCGGCUUCGGCUGUCACUUAUGGAUGGACCCGCGUCGCAUUAGCUAGUUGGUGAGGUAACGGCUCACCAAGGCAACGAUGCGUAGCCGACCUGAGAGGGUGAUCGGCCACACUGGGACUGAGACACGGCCCAGACUCCUACGGGAGGCAGCAGUAGGGAAUCUUCCGCAAUGGACGAAAGUCUGACGGAGCAACGCCGCGUGAGUGAUGAAGGCUUUCGGGUCGUAAAACUCUGUUGUUAGGGAAGAACAAGUGCUAGUUGAAUAAGCUGGCACCUUGACGGUACCUAACCAGAAAGCCACGGCUAACUACGUGCCAGCAGCCGCGGUAAUACGUAGGUGGCAAGCGUUAUCCGGAAUUAUUGGGCGUAAAGCGCGCGCAGGUGGUUUCUUAAGUCUGAUGUGAAAGCCCACGGCUCAACCGUGGAGGGUCAUUGGAAACUGGGAGACUUGAGUGCAGAAGAGGAAAGUGGAAUUCCAUGUGUAGCGGUGAAAUGCGUAGAGAUAUGGAGGAACACCAGUGGCGAAGGCGAC
rnacentral:rRNA from 1 species